AACGAACGCUGGCGGCAUGCCUAACACAUGCAAGUCGAACGAGACCUUCGGGUCUAGUGGCGCACGGGUGCGUAACGCGUGGGAAUCUGCCCUUGGGUUCGGAAUAACAGUUAGAAAUGACUGCUAAUACCGGAUGAUGACUUCGGUCCAAAGAUUUAUCGCCCAGGGAUGAGCCCGCGUCGGAUUAGCUAGUUGGUGAGGUAAAGGCUCACCAAGGCGACGAUCCGUAGCUGGUCUGAGAGGAUGAUCAGCCACACUGGGACUGAGACACGGCCCAGACUCCUACGGGAGGCAGCAGUGGGGAAUAUUGGACAAUGGGCGAAAGCCUGAUCCAGCAAUGCCGCGUGAGUGAUGAAGGCCUUAGGGUUGUAAAGCUCUUUUACCCGGGAUGAUAAUGACAGUACCGGGAGAAUAAGCCCCGGCUAACUCCGUGCCAGCCGCCGCGGUAAAAC
rnacentral:rRNA from 1 species